CGAGGCCGGAUCUUCUGGUCCGCAAUUUGCGGACCAGGGGAUGGUCUCAUGCCCUCUCCGUCCAACUCGUCUCCAGCGAACCUCUCCUCUGAACUCCUCUUCGCCGAACGACGUUGAGCGACAUUUCCUUUCCUAGGUAUAGGUGAGGCAAGAGAACAUGUUUACAUUCACCGUGCGAGACACCAUCACCUACUCGGCCCACCUUCGGCUUCCGGCUGUAGACAAGAGGGAGGUAGUGGUGGUAGUGGUGUCGGAGGUGGUGGAGGUGGUGGAGGCGGUGGAGGUGACGAUCCUUGAGAUGGUGCUGCAGGAAUGCGCAGACCGGUUGAUCUGGAACUGGCACAUGAGGGGGAUCAGCGGCGCGGAGAAGAAGAGACUGAGCAUCGCGCUGGAGAUCCUGACGCAGCUGCUGCUCCUCUUCCUCGACGAGCCCACCACCGGGCUCUACAACGUCGUCGCCUUCUUCAUGGUGCAGACGCUAAAGCACAUCGCGGCGGAUGGCAACAAGAUCAUCGUCUCAUCCAUCCACCAGCCCGGCAGCAAGGUCUUCUGCCUCUUAUCUGGCAGAGAGGUCGUCUUCUUUGGAGAUGCCAAGUUGGCCACCCAGUUGUUGAUGAACAAACCACAACAAGCUGGCAAGGAGUAUUUAGCAUUUCAUCGUAUAGGUCAUACUUCAAUAUUGAUGCUGUGGUAGUUGUUGAUGAACAAACAACAAAAAGUUGUCAAGUAGUAUUUAGCAUUUCAUCGUAUAGGUCAUACUUCAAUAUUGAUGUUGUGGUAGACAGAAUCAUCACUUCAGUCUACCCUAUGAAUGAUUUCUACAAGAAGAUUGAUUCUAAUCUCGAUUUAGACAGAAUCAACUUCAGAUCCAUUGUCAACAUUAGCUACUACACAGAUUAAAGUAAUUCUCAUUGAUGAAUACAGGAGCUUAGGGUAUGCCAAGCAUACCCAAAGGCAGAUUAAAGAGAUAUGCAAGAUAAAGGUGUGGACUCUAUGGAAGCCUCUAGAAUGCUUGCGAAAAAAUGUUAGGGAUUAUUAUAUACCACAAAAGAGGGAAGGUAAGUUGAAAAUUGAAGAGACCAAAGAGGAUAUACUUACCAAAGCACUUGAGACUGAAGUAAGCAUAUCGUUGGCUUUGAGGCCGACUAGCUAUUUUGUGCUCUUUUGUUUUAAAUUUGAAUACCACUAUCUACUUUGAAACAAAACUAUUUAGUCUUUGAUAUCAAGGAUCAUCCUCUGGAGAUGCACUUACUCGGGAUUCGUGGAAAGGGAAGGCUCAGUCCCCUGUGGCUCUCCCGAACUAUUAAGUAUGUUGUUCUCCCUGGAAAUAUUGGAAGACAAGCUGCCAAGCUAUUUUUUAUCCUUAAUGCUGGGGGAGUACGGAUGAGCGACCUAUCCGGAGGACCAUCUACUCAAGUUUGAGAAUGCAGCUAUUCUUCACCAAUACACAAAUGACGUCAAGUGCCGAGUAUUCUUGAAAUCCUCUCGAGCUCGGCACAGAGAUGGUUCAACCGACUUUUGGUUGACUAUAUUUGCUACUUCAAGGAUUUUCUGCAAGAUGCUCCUCCACCACUUCGCCAGCAGCCACCGAUAACACAAGACCACGCUAAGUUUAUUUUCCCUCAAGCAAUGGCCCAAUAAGGCUCUCAGGGCGUACAUCAAACAGUAUAACUAGGUGGUUAUGGGCGUCUCUAUGGGUACUCCAAAGAUUCUGGUGAGUGCUUUUUUCCAAGGGCUCAUCGAUGGAAACUUCUUUCGGUCCUUGAUCAAGAAGCACCUUAGGGAUUUUGACCAUCUACUAGGAAGGGCGACCAAGUACAUCAUUGUGGAGAAGGCUCAGUCCGCUGGGAAGAAGGAGGUAGCCCCGCUUGCUCUUGUCUCUGUCUUAGAGCACCGAGCUCCUCUCCCUCCUCUGCCACAUAAAGGAUCCUGAUCGGAUCAUCCACCACAUCCUUACGAGAAGAGGUCAAAUGCAGUCCAACAUGUGGAAGCUGCUCCGAUUUAGUAUCCCAAGCCCCACCAAUCGGCCCAGCCUUUCUGCACUUACCAUCGGAUGGGAACCCAUAGCAUUCAAGAGUGUAACAGGUACAAUCAGGGGGUGCGCUGAGCGACCAACCAAGAGUUCCGACGUCGAUCACCAUCUCUAAAUAAUUAGUAUUAUCAACGACCGAACAGACCAUCUAG